AGGUGGGGAGGCAGUGGUUGAGGGUAUUGAAGUUGGCUCUGAAGGGAGUGGUAAUACGAAUACUGCCCAUGUUGGAAUGGUCACUUGUGUCGGCUAUUCCAGGACAGGAUGCCAAGUGGAGUGGAAAGCAGCAGUGGAGGCCCCCCAAAAGCUUUACUCACUUACUAUUUAGCUGCUAGAGUUCCUUCAUAAUAUACCUGAUAAGGUGAGCUCAGGUGUCCAAGAACACAAGAGCUAAUCUUACUCUUAAUUGUCUUCAAGACUCAUGGGGUCUGAAGAAGCCCAGUGUUUCUCAAACUUGAGUGUGCAGCAGAAUCACCUGGAGGGCUUGUUAAAACAGAUUGCUGGCCCCACGCCCAGAGUUUCUGAUUCAGCACGUAUGAGGUGGGAUCUGAUGCUGACGCUGCUGGUCCGGAGAUACAUUUGGGGAACCACUAAGAGGGGUCCUGGCACCCUGCGGGAAACCACAACUCAGCCACCAUUUAAAUCCGGGCAAGAUUCCGUGGGUGAGUAGCUUGCAGAGGAAAGGAGUGGAAUGAUUGGAACAGGAAGCAGAGAUGCAGGCCAGAGGAAAGAGCUUCAAAAGAACACAUGCAGAUGAUUCCUGAUGAGCCACAUGUGGUUCCCAGCUUUGAUGAAGACACUGAGGUUCAGAGAUGUUCAGCGAUUUCCCCCGAGUCACAGGGAGCAGGUUUCUCUUCUUCCAGACCUGCACCAUGACACCUGAUGGAUUUUUCUCUCCAGAACAUCCCUGGGAAUCAUUUCUGUCAGAUGCUUCACUGGAUGUCCCUUGGUUUUUACGCUCAUCUAUCCCCUUCUCCUCGAACCCCACCUCCCUGAAAUGGCAAUUUGCUAUUUUAAUUAUAGUUUCUCUUGCCGCACUUGAGGCUUUUUUCCUAUUGCGCUCCUCUACCUUGCUUAGAUUUUUAUCCUUUCUUCCAGGGCAGAGAAUUCAUUAAGAUUUCUAGAUUCCUCCAAUUUGCUUCCUUGAUGGUGAAUAAUUCUUCUUAGACUGUGUACAAUUCUGAUUGUUCAGAUGCUGAAUUAGGUGGCUGAGCAGCGGGACCAGGGUGCCCCGUGUGAACUGGUGGCCCCAUCCAAGUGCAGACUGAAUCAAUGCCCCAGAGCUGUGAGUCCCUGGGUCUGUCUGGAGUCCUGCAAUGGACCAUCUCCGAGACCUGAGGGGUGGCCCUAUGACAGCUGACCACAGGCCUCUGCCUCCUUUGCCAACAGGUGAGGGGUCCCAGGACUGUCUCUGGGUUCCAUGAGUUGCUCCUUGCAGGCUGGGCUGGGCUGGCCUUGACCAUAAACCAUCUGGGUCACCUGCAGCUGUUCCCCAGGUGCUUGCUGGGCCUGUGGGCUGAGGCUGCAGCUGGAAAUGAGUCUGGGCAGGAAGUGAACAGGGAAGUAGCUCAUGUGACCGGGAAGCUGAUGAGGCCUCCCAGCGAAGGGAGCACCAGAAAGCAGUUCUCCAAGGCAUUCCAGGCAUAGAAGCUGAGCCACUCACCACAGAGGGGGGCCACUUGAAAGCUGCUGCCCAUCCUGUUUACGCUCACAAACCUGCUCCUGUUCUCUCCUUCAGGAAGGUAUGUAGGUCAGUACUGGUGAAGGUCAUUUGCUGUGGGAGUGUGUAAACGUCAACUUUGAGCCUGGCUCAGUCAGAAACACGGGGUGCUCCAAGGUGACUUCAAAGUCCUGGGGAGAGCAUGGCACACUGAUAGCUGUGUAACCCGGGUGGGUCCCAUUACCGCCUGACCCUCAGGGCUGACAGAAUAUGAGGUCCCCGAAAGGCCGGUCAUGGGCCACACAGAUAUGAUUCCACGGGCGAGGACAGGCAAGGGACGUCAUCCUCCUGUUUGGGCCUUGCUCGCCUCAGUCUGUAAGGGAUUCAAGGCAAGAGACCCAGCUGGAAAAUGAAAAAAGGAAAAACAUUGAGAUCCUAAAGCAUAAGAUAAGGUCUGAGAUUGUCUCCAAUGGGAAUAAAGGAAUUAACAGGAGGGUGACCUGUAAAGCCAGGUGAAUAGAGAGAAUACAGAGGCAGAGGCCCUGGAGCAGGCUUCUCGGGGAACGUGCAAGAAGCAGACAAGCCUAUGCAUUCCCAGAGAACUUGCCUUCUCAUCCCAGAGGGUUCCUGACUUGGGAACGAGCCGGCACAGGCCUAUCCUAGAUGUGCAGAAUACCAAAUAAGAUGGCAGAAAAUAAGGCAAAAGUUUCCCAAAGUUGGGGGUCAUAUCAUUUUGUAGCAUGAUUCUGACACUCACUAGGUAGGCUUUGUAAAUUUUGCUCUUCUAUAUGAAAGAUUGGUUUGUGGGGUUGCCUCUUAUACUUCCUUUAAUAGGUCAAGGGCAGGAGCAGGGUCAGGGAGUGGCUUGGAGAGCUGUUUUUCUCUUUUCCUCUUUAUUAGCCAUUCCUCCCCACCCCAAAACACUAAAUACAAAUAAUGUU